rnacentral:rRNA from 1 species
GUGCCAGCAGCCGCGGUAAUACGUAGGGUGCGAGCGUUAAUCGGAAUUACUGGGCGUAAAGCGUGCGCAGGCGGUUCGCUAAGACCGAUGUGGAAAUCCCGGGCUUAACCUGGGAACUGCAUUGGUGACUGGCGGGCUAGAGUAUGGCAGAGGGGGGUAGAAUUCCACGUGUAGCAGUGAAAUGCGUAGAGAUGUGGAGGAAUACCGAUGGCGAAGGCAGCCCCCUGGGCCCAUACUGACUCUCUUGCCCGAAAGCGUGGGGAGCAAAAGGAUUUAGAUACCCUGGUAGUCC